GUUCUGGCUUUGGCAGCACACAUACUAAAAUUGGAAUGAUACAGGGAUUAGCAUGGCCCCUGCAUGAGAAUGACACACAUAUUAAUGAAAUGUUCCAUAGUUUU